AUUGAACGCUGGCGGCAGGCCUAACACAUGCAAGUCGAGCGAGCGGCGGACGGGUGUGAAUUGUAUGUGGGUCUGUCCGAGAGAGGGGGAUAACUACUGGAAACGGUGGCUCAUAUAGCACAUUGCAGGAGGAAUCCACAUGUGAUGAGCGCGUAGGUAAGGUAAAGGCUUACCUAGGCGACGAUACCCAGCUGGUCUGAGAGGAUGAUCAGCCACACUGGGACUGAGACACGGCCCAGACUCCUACGGGAGGCAGCAGUGGGGAAUAUUGCACAAUGGGCGCAAGCCUGAUGCAGCCAUGCCGCGUGUAUGAAGAAGGCCCUCGGGUUGUAAAGUACUUUCAGUCGGGAGGCGUUACCGGCAGAAGAAGCACCGGCUAACUCCGUGCCAGCAGCCGCGGUAAUAC
rnacentral:rRNA from 1 species